rnacentral:rRNA from 1 species
UACGUAGGGGGCAAGCGUUGUCCGGAUUUAUUGGGCGUAAAGAGCGUGUAGGCGGCCAUGCAGGUCAGCUGUGAAAACUCGAGGCUCAACCUCGAGACGUCGGUUGAAACCAUCUGGCUAGAGUCCGGGAGAGGAGAGUGGAAUUCCUGGUGUAGCGGUGAAAUGCGCAGAUAUCAGGAAGAACACCCGUGGCGAAAGCGGCUCUCUGGAACGGUACUGACGCUGAGACGCGAAAGCGUGGGGAGCGAACAGG